UCCUGGUAGUUCAGAUGGUAAAGAAUCUACCUGUAAUGCAGAAGAUCCAGGUUCGAUCCCUGGGUUGGGAA
rnacentral:tRNA from 1 species